CCUACGGGAGGCAGCAGUGGGGGAUAUUGCACAAUGGGGGAAACCCUGAUGCAGCGACGCCGCGUGGGCGAAGAAGUAUUUCGGUAUGUAAAGCCCUAUCAGCAGGGAAGAAGAACUUACUGUACCUGAGUCAGAAGCACCGGCUCAAUACGUGCCAGCAGCCGCGGUAAUACGUAUGGUGCAAGCGUUAUCCGGAUUUACUGGGUGGAAAGGGCGCGCAGGCGGUACGGCAAGCCUGAUGUGAAAGCCCGCGGCCCAACCGCGGGACUGCAUUGGGAACUACCGGGCGGGAGUGCAGGAGAGGUAGGCGGAAUUCCUAGUGUAGCGGUGAAAUGCGUAGAUAUUAGGAGGAAAACCAGUGGCGAAGGCGGCCUACUGGACGGUGACUGACGCUGAGGCUCGAAAGCGUGGGGAGCAAACAGGAUUAGAUACCCUAGUAGUC
rnacentral:rRNA from 1 species